ensembl:lncRNA uncharacterized LOC114453405
GCAACUCUGAUUGGACAACAGCAUCACCUGGUAUAGCAUUAGACAAGCUACUUUGCAUUGUGAGUCCACAUUUUUGAUCUCCAAUUUAAAACAGAGAGGAGAGCUGUUGGUUUGUUCUUUUUGCAUGUGUGUGCACCUUUCUCUGUUAUCUUUGGCCCCUGUGUCACAUGCCUCUUCUAACUUGUCUCUCUUUGUUCAGACAUGGAGACAGCCACUUCUAGCUUGCAAGCUUCGUUCGGCCUGGGCCCUCCAGGUCCAGGCUCACCGCAUGGUUCUCAGCAGUUCCGUCAGGGGCCUCAUCAUCAGCCGGUUCCAGGUCCCUCUGGUGCUGCACGCCCUGAGGAGCAGCCCCACAAACCGUUCUUCUACAUACAGCCUUCGCAGCCAUAUGUGCCCAUGCAGGGCAUGCAGUGGCCUGUGGCUAUGCCCAUGCCUGUGUCCUACAACCCCUACUAUGGCUACCCUGGGUUAGGUUAUGGCAUGCCACUGAUGCCACACUAUCAGGCAAACCCAUACAUGGAGCCACCUGGUUUCAUUGUCCCCCACACCCACCUCCAUCUACAGGACUACAGGCGCAUGCUCAACCCCCAGUAUUAUCAGACCAUGGCCUACCACGCCCGCAGGUUCCGCUACCAACACAACUCCCCUUCCAGAGAAGUGACUACCACUGAGGUUCAAACUGAACCACUCAUCGCAACUGAGAGGACCAGCACCCCGAGUUCUAAUGACACUGAAUCCUCCAGCCUUCUUCCAGAUAGUAGCAGCAGUUGUUACACCCCCAGUGUCCCCACCAGUCAGCUGCUCUCACCAGCCUCAGCUGUACAGAAGGGAGAUCACUCUCCAGAGCUACAGGACGUGGUGCCAUCUUCCAGCACCAGGACGCCCUCAAAUGGCAGUUAUGUGAUUCAAACAGAGGAGGUGAGGAUUGAAGUGUCACACGGUUUUUCCCAGGACGUGGUCCAGUGUAGCUCGAUUCUCCAAAGCCAUGUCCUGCAGGACGAGACCCUGUGCCUCCCUGCAGACGAGUCAGAACAGCCCCUCCAGGUUUGUCCUGACAUUCUGUUGGUUGGGGGUCCCAGCACUGGUGAAACGAUCCCUGCUCUGGAGGAGUCCAGGAACCAGUCGGACACAGUGACAGCAGCCUCCAGUUUGGGGUCUCUAGAAGCAGCUUGUAGCAAAGCAAUGGAGACAGCAAGUGAGAAAGAUGUGAGUAUGAGUCCUAAGAAUCUUCACUUCAAAGUGGUCCAGCUGCCGUUUGACCCCAAAUAUCUGGAUGAACUAAGGAAGAUGGAGUCAACAGUUUGGUCAGUGGAAGAAACUUUGAUUUCCUCCCCUGAUUCACUGAUCCCAAAUGGCCUUGCAGAAUCUCAUGAUGAAACACAGGCUGCUGUAGAUGAAGCUUCAGUGGAGAUGCUACUGGUGAGAGAGCAGGCUCCAACCAAAGAGAACGUUCCAGUGAUUGAGAUGCCUCCUCUGGCAAAAGAUGAACUGGAGGACAUGGUCCCUGCUGUUAAAAGUGAAGUGGAUGAGAUGGUGUCUGAAGCUAAGAUCUGCACAAUGGCAAAUGAUUUAGAGGUACCUCAUAUGAUUAAACUGACUCACACAGCAGAGGUGUCUCCUCCUCCUAAUUUGCUGGUGUUGGAAAGAUCGCCUCUUAAGGCGGAUGGAACCCAACACAGACGAGACAUGACAGUACAGGAUCAUCAGGACACCUCCUUUGAGUCCUUACCUGCCUACCUUCCCUCAGCCAGCUGGUUAGCUGACUUUGAUAAUGUCUACUGUUGCAGCAAUAUGCCAGCAGCUCCCAAGAAACAGAAUCAACCUCUCACUAAUCAUGGUUUAGACGUGCCUACCAGAAGAAGAAAACUAGACAUGGAGUACAAAGAACAACCUCAUGUCCGCAAACCAAAGGAGAGGUACAAACCCAAAGGCAAAGCAGACCGGCGAAGCCUCUCUGACCAUGAGUGCUGCCUCAGCAGAAAUUUCAAUGAGAACAUGUUUAACCCUUAUGUCUCGAAGAGGGAACGUCUAUGCUCCAGAUGUCUGGCAAAACGCAGGAUCUGCACAUCUGCCAGUCCAGGACUUGACAGUUGGAGUUCAAAAAAAAAAGCCGCUCCUUUCCAGCAGUGGAACGACACCCUCUUAACGACAUGUGAAGCCUGUAAAUCUCACACCAAGGGGCACCUGAUGAGAAAAGGUUCUAACCCCGAUGUCCGUGGUCCUCAUCAUGGGCACGACACAGAAGGGGAAUCCUCUGAGAACAGCUCAUGUCGCGCAAAGUGGAGGGGGGGCAACGAUCGUAGGAAGUUCACAGACCUCAAGAAACCACUGGUGCCCAAGCAGAACCAGGAGAAGUGUUCUACAGCGACAUACCCUAAACUGAGGGAGAAGAACUAUCCGUGUAACGAGCAUCAGCCUGUUGCAUGGGAGAGGCUGCGACACUGUCCCCAUGGCAACACCAUCCGGGAAAUGGAUGAGAACUGUGCCGUACCCAUGGCCCUCCAGGACAAAUGGAAAAAUGUGGAUCAGAUGUACCCGACACACAGGUGGCAAACCGAGAAGUCAUGGAGGGAUGCGGUGCCUGACGCAGACAGCUUCAAGAAUGAAGCCAGAUCGCAGUACUUUAACAAACACAAGAAGUCACAACCACAAUCACAAGGAACGCGUAGAAAAGACACACGAUGCUGAUUUGCACAAGAGCACAACACAAGUACAAGAAAAAAAACACUUUUUUAAAAAGAAUGUUCAC